GAUGAACGCUGGCGGCGUGCCUAAUACAUGCAAGUCGAGCGAACAGACGAGGAGCUUGCUCCUCUGACGUUAGCGGCGGACGGGUGAGCAACACGUGGAUAACCUACCUAUAAGACUGGGAUAACUUCGGGAAACCGGAGCUACUACCGGAUAAUAUAUUGAACCGCAUGGUUCAAUAGUGAAAGACGGUUUUGCUGUCACUUAUAGAUGGAUCCGCGCCGCAUUAGCUAGUUGGUAAGGUAACGGCUUACCAAGGCAACGAUGCGUAGCCGACCUGAGAGGGUGAUCGGCCACACUGGAACUGAGACACGGUCCAGACUCCUACGGGAGGCAGCAGUAGGGAAUCUUCCGCAAUGGGCGAAAGCUUGACGGAGCAACGCCGCGUGAGUGAUGAAGGUCUUCGGAUCGUAAAACUCUGUUAUUAGGGAAGAACAAAUGUGUAAGUAACUAUGCACGUCUUGACGGUACCUAAUCAGAAAGCCACGGCUAACUACGUG
rnacentral:rRNA from 1 species